AACGAACGCUGGCGGCAGGCUUAACACAUGCAAGUCGAGCGCAUCCUUCGGGGUGAGCGGCGGACGGGUGAGUAACGCGUGGGAACGUGCCCUCUUCUACGGAAUAGCCUCGGGAAACUGAGAGUAAUGCCGUAUACGCCCGCAAGGGGAAAGAUUUAUCGGAGGAGGAUCGGCCCGCGUUGGAUUAGGUAGUUGGUGGGGUAACGGCCUACCAAGCCGACGAUCCAUAGCUGGUUUGAGAGGAUGAUCAGCCACACUGGGACUGAGACACGGCCCAGACUUCUACGGGAGGCAGCAGUGGGGAAUCUUGGACAAUGGGGGCAACCCUGAUCCAGCCAUGCCGCGUGAUCGAUGAAGGCCUUAGGGUUGUAAAGAUCUUUCAGCUGGGAAGAUAAUGACGGUACCAGCAGAAGAAGCCCCGGCUAACUCCGUG
rnacentral:rRNA from 1 species